GAAACCGCGACGGGGCUAGCCGGAGUGCCGAUGCCUCGCAUCGGCUGUCGGGGAGCCUAAAAAGCUCCCCACAGCAAGGGCCGGGCAAGGCCGGUGGCAGCCGCCGCGGUAAUACCGGCGGCCCGAGUGGCGGCCACUAUUAUUGGGCCUAAAGCGUCCGUAGCCGGUCUGGCAAGUCCCCCGGGAAAUCUGGCGGCUUAACCGUCAGGCUGCCGGGGGAUACUGCCAGACUAGGGACCGGGAGAGGCCGGGGGUAUUCCCGGGGUAGGGGUGAAAUCCUGUAAUCCCGGGAGGACCACCUGUGGCGAAGGCGCCCGGCUGGAACGGGUCCGACGGUGAGGGACGAAGGCCUGGGGAGCGAACCGGAUUAGAUACCCGGGUAGUCCAGGCUGUAAACGAUGCGGGCUAGGUGUCGCGACAGCCACGAGCUGUCGCGGUGCCGGAGGGAAGCCGUUAAGCCCGCCGCCUGGGAAGCACGGCCGCAAGGCUGAAACUUAAAGGAAUUGGCGGGGGAGCAC
rnacentral:rRNA from 1 species